rnacentral:rRNA from 1 species
CCUACGGGUGGCAGCAGUCGAGAAUCAUUCACAAUGGGCGACACCCUGAUGGUGCGACGCCGCGUGGGGGAAUGAAGGUCUUCGGAUUGUAAACCACUGUCAUGUGGGAGCAAAUUAAAAAGAUAGUACCACAAGAGGAAGAGCCGGCUAACUCUGUGCAAGCAGCCGCGGUAAUACAGAGGUCUCAAGAGUUGUUCGGAAUCCCUGGGCGGAAAGCGUGCGGUGGCUGUUUUGCAAGUCGUGUGUGAAAGCCGCGGGCUCAACCCGCGGACGGCACAUGAUACUGCGCGACUAGAGUGAUGGAGGGGGAACCGGAAUGCUCGGUGUAGCGGUGAAAUGCGUAGAGAU